GAUGAAGAACGUAGCGAAAUGCGAUAAGUAAUGUGAAUUGCAGAAUUCAGUGAAUCAUCGAAUCUUUGAACGCACAUUGCGCCCCUUGGUAUUCCGAGGGGCAUGCCUGUUCGAGCGUCAUUACACCACUCAAGCUAUGCUUGGUAUUGGGCGUCGUCCUUAGUUGGGCGCGCCUUAAAGACCUCGGCGAGGCCACUCCGGCUUUAGGCGUAGUAGAAUUUAUUCGAACGUCUGUCAAAGGAGAGGAACUCUGCCGACUGAAACCUUUAUUUUUCUAGGUUGACCUCGGAUCAGGUAGGGAUACCCGCUGAACUUAAGCAUAUCAAUAGCGGAGGA
rnacentral:misc_RNA from 1 species